AGAGUACCUGUUCUGGCUCCUCGAGAGCUCGAUCCAUUUGCAGUGAGUCUCAGAUCUACUCUUAACAGCGCUGGGAGCUUGAGGGGCGAUGGCAGGAGAGCAUAUUCCAGCUCUGUCAUAAAAAUGUAAGGAGACAAAACGGUAUGAAAUACAUCUGGGAAGAUCUACUCGAACACAAUGAAGUCAAAAGGAGAGGCGACAUCGUCAUCAUCAUCGUCGUCGUCAUCUUGUUUUUCAUUUCGGAGGAACACGAGAACCGUGGAAAGAGCCUGGGAAGUUCCAUCUUCCAUUUAGUGAUCUUGGUGCCUCAGUUUCCCUGCUGAGAAAUAGAGACAAGUAACCACUGUCUCCGAUCUAGGCGAGGACAAAGAAAACUUGAGGUAGUGCAAGAUAAGGUAGAGAAGUAUCAACAGCUACCCCCGCCGUUUUGCCGUCAUCUGACUGUGGUUAUUGUUAUGAUUGUUAACAACAAAAAUACAGUUUUAAUUGCAUCACAAGUCGAUUCGCCCCUCCCCGGUGCCCGGACUGUAUCUUCGGACCCACGAAAAGUUUUCGUUCCCCGAAUCGAGCGGAGUGAGGACCUAGCCAAGGCAUUCGUUUAAAUUCUCCGGAUAAAUGUAAUUAUUCUCAACUUCGAUUUGACAGUGAUAACCUAGCCACAUAACUCUCCUCUCCUGGCCUCCUGCCUCUCCCGAUUUUAUUGAGAUCAUCAUUUCCCUAACGCGAAUACCAAAUUGUCCCGGGGCAUUUUCGUACACUUCAGAUCUGUAAAGCGCUUCGGACCCGGGCAACACGGCCACUACAACUGGGUAGUUCAAAGAAAAUAAUAAUAAAAAGGCUCUUCUAAAUGGUCUAGAUAA